rnacentral:lncRNA from 1 species
GUUAUAUACUAGACAAAUAGCAGCUUUGAAAACAAUUUUAAUGGAUUCUGAAUAUAUUUGCAGGUCAGAACAGUUUAAGAAUAUAUUCUACAUGGGAUGACUUCUUAAGUUGCUUAUUUUCUUUGUGGGAAAACUCAGUAAGAAGGUAACAAAAAACAAACAAACUCAGUUUCUGGAUGCAUCUUGACAUAGGCAUUUGGAUUUCUGACUUUUUCUGUUGAUUAACAGCACUAUUUGGAGAAGACAGCACAUUGUUUUCAUUUGCAGUGUAUAAAUUGCAUGGUUGUACUUCUGUCUCCUAGGUUCUGCAAAAUAAAAAUAAAAAUAAAAAAUCAGCAAUCCCAAUCAGAAACAACUUUCAGGACCUUUGGACGCCCAUUUAAUGCCUGCAGAUCCCCUAGGGGAGACUACACAGCUGACAGUGGCACUGGUGAGGAAACUAGAAGAGAAACAUCCUAAGGCCUCAGCUCAAAGGAGAACUGAGGGGGACAGAGGAGAAGGACUGUUGCAGCCGACAAAGCAUGGUGACCCAGCUUGUCACCCAGUGACCUGUGAGAAGGAAAUAAUGAACUAACCUCACUGGCAUUGCUUAGAAUCCUGGAGGAUCUUGUCCUAGAUCUGCUGGUUUCCUUUGUGGUGUGGUGAAGACAAUUCAUGAGGACUGUAUUUUGCAAGUCUCCACAAAGUAAGUGCGCGUCUGCAGACUAUUAGAUCUUCAUAAGCAAGCAAGGUGCUGUAAAUGAAAAUUAUAAUCUUCUAAAACAGCUUUCUCAAUCUGAUCUACUCACU